rnacentral:rRNA from 1 species
GCAGUGGGGAAUAUUGCACAAUGGGCGCAAGCCUGAUGCAGCGACGCCGCGUGAGGGAUGACGGCCUUCGGGUUGUAAACCUCUUUCAGCAGGGAAGAAGCGCAAGUGACGGUACCUGCAGAAGAAGCACCGGCUAACUACGUGCCAGCAGCCGCGGUAAUACGUAGGGUGCGAGCGUUGUCCGGAAUUAUUGGGCGUAAAGAGCUCGUAGGCGGCUUGUCGCGUCGGAUGUGAAAGCCCGGGGCUUAACCCCGGGUCUGCAUUCGAUACGGGCAGGCUAGAGUUCGGCAGGGGAGAUUGGAAUUCCUGGUGUAGCGGUGAAAUGCGCAGAUAUCAGGAGGAACACCGGUGGCGAAGGCGGAUCUCUGGGCCGAUACUGACGCUGAGGAGCGAAAGCGUGGGGAGCGAACAGGAUUAGAUACCCUGGUAGUCCACGCCGUAAACGUUGGGCACUAGGUGUGGGCGGCAUUCCACGUCGUCCGUGCCGCAGCUAACGCAUUAAGUGCCCCGCCUGGGGAGUA